AUCCUACGGGAGGCAGCAGUGGGGAAUAUUGCACAAUGGGCGCAAGCCUGAUGCAGCCAUGCCGCGUGUAUGAAGAAGGCCUUCGGGUUGUAAAGUACUUCAGCAGUGAGGAAGGUGGGUAUGUUAAUAGCAUAUCAUUUGACGUUAGCUGCAGAAGAAGCACCGGCUAACUCCGUGCCAGCAGCCGCGGUAAUACGGAGGGUGCGAGCGUUAAUCGGAAUUACUGGGCGUAAAAGCGCAUGCAGGUGGUUUGUUAAGUCAGAUGUGAAAGCCCGGGGCUCAACCUCGGAAUUGCAUUUGAAAACUGGCAAACUAGAGUACUGUAGAGGGGGUAGAAUUUCAGGUGUAGCGGUGAAAUGCGUAGAGAUCUGAAGGAAUACCGGUGGCGAAGGCGGCCCCCUGGACAGAUACUGACACUCAGAUGCGAAAGCGUGGGGAGCAAACAGGAUUAGAUACCCUGGUAG
rnacentral:rRNA from 1 species